GGAUAAUGUAUUUUUUAAUAAAAAGUAAUAUUAUUGUUAGCGACGGAACCCUAUCCGUAGCUAAAUCUGUCGCUGAAGACAACUUUAUUAUUUUCCCUAGCGAACAAAUUUGGUAAAACAUCAGUCUCUUCUAAAGCAGCAGAAACACAUGAGAGAGCAAAAUUAGGCGCCUGAGAGCAAAAUCAGUAGAAGACACACGAUGAGGGUUUUCAAGAACAAGAGCAAAAAUCAUUAGCCAAUAUGAAUCUAAGGGAGAGAAAAAUCAAUUGGGAGAUAAACUGGGUAAGGAAUUUCAAGAACAAGAGCAAAAAUUAGUAGCCAACAUGAAUCUAAGGGUGCUUUCACCACUUGUGAUGAUAUGUGAAGCUCUAUUUCUUCUUAAUUAACAUCGUUGUCGCUUGUACGAGUAGUUAAAUCAAGUUUAGAAACAUCAAUGUAAAGCAUAUUAUGAAGCCGCGGGAGGGGAAAAGAAGAGAAGAUUAUAUGGUCUUGGAUCUCAAGCAAAAUGCUACUAUGAGCCGAAUCUUUGUGGCUCUUCUGGAUCAGAUGCUUCAUCAUCAAUACCACCUUCGAGUUCUCAAUCAGCAUCAAUAGGGAAUCUGGAUAAGUUAGUGAUGUGUUUGAUUCCUGCGCUAACAGAGCGCAUAGUUAUUGUUGGUGUUAGAGAUGAUUCAAACUUAAUUGUAAUAACUAUAUGCAUUUUAAUAUCAUUUUGAAACU